rnacentral:misc_RNA from 1 species
GAUGAAUAACGUAGCGAAAUGCGAUAAUUAAUGUGAAUUGCAGAAUUCAGUGAAUCAUCGAGUCUUUGAACGCACAUUGCGCCCCCUGGUAUUCCGGGGGGCAUGCCUGUCCGAGCGUCAUUGCUGCCCUCAAGCCCGGCUUGUGUGUUGGGCCUCGUCCCCCCUCCGGGGGACGGGCCCGAAAGGCAGCGGCGGCACCGUGUCCGGUCCUCGAGCGUAUGGGGCUUUGUCACCCGCUCUGUAGGCCCGGCCGGCGCCUUAGCCGACGACACAAUCUUUUUUUUCAGGUUGACCUCGGAUCAGGUAGGGAUACCCGCUGAACUUAAGCAUAUCAAUAAGCGGAGGA